rnacentral:rRNA from 1 species
AACGAACGCUGGCGGCGCGCCUAAUACAUGCAAGUCGAGCGAGAAGACGUAGCAAUACGUUUGUAAAGCGGCGAACGGGUGAGGAAUACAUGGGUAACCUACCCUCGAGUGGGGAAUAACUAGCCGAAAGGUUAGCUAAUACCGCGUACGCUCCUUGGACUUCGGUUCAGGGAGGAAAGCGAUACCGCGGGUAUCGCGCUCUUGGAUGGGCUCAUGUCCUAUCAGCUUGUUGGUGAGGAACGGCUCACCAAGGCUUCGACGGGUAGCUGGUCUGAGAGGACGAUCAGCCACACUGGCACUGCGACACGGGCCAGACUCCUACGGGAGGCAGCAGUAAGGAAUAUUGCGCAAUGGGCGAAAGCCUGACGCAGCGACGCCGCGUGGGGGAUGAAGGUCUUCGGAUUGUAAACCCCUUUCGGGAGGGAAGACGGGAACGAGCAAUCGUUCGGACGGUACCUCCAGAAGCAGCCACGGCUAACUUCGUGCCAGCCCGCCG